rnacentral:rRNA from 1 species
UUACCAUGCAGUCGAACGGAAAGGCCACAGCUUGCUGUGGUACUCGAGUGGCGAACGGGUGAAAACACGUGGGUGAUCUGCCCUGUACUUCGGGAUAAGCUUGGGAAACUGGGUCUAAUACCGGAUAGGAAUCACAUGUGGGUGUGUGGUUGGAAAGCUUUUGCGGUAUGGGAUGAGCUCGCGGCCUAUCAGCUUGUUGGUGGGGUAAUGGCCUACCAAGGCGUCGACGGGUAGCCGGCCUGAGAGGGUGUACGGCCACAUUGGGACUGAGAUACGGCCCAGACUCCUACGGGAGGCAGCAGUGGGGAAUAUUGCACAAUGGGCGCAAGCCUGAUGCAGCGACGCCGCGUGGGGGAUGACGGCCUUCGGGUUGUAAACUCCUUUCGUCAGGGACGAAGCGAAAGUGACGGUACCUGGAUAAGAAGCACCGGCUAACUACGUGCCAGCAGCCGCGGUAAUACGUAGGGUGCGAGCGUUGUCCGGAAUUACUGGGCGUAAAGAGCUCGUAGGUGGUUUGUCGCGUCGUUUGUGUAAGUCCACGGCUUAACUGUGGGAUGGCAGGCGAUACGGGCAUAACUUGAGUGCUGUAGGGGAGACUGGAAUUCCUGGUGUAGCGGUGAAAUGCGCAGAUAUCAGGAGGAACACCGAUGGCGAAGGCAGGUCUCUGGGCAGUAACUGACGCUGAGGAGCGAAAGCAUGGGUAGCGAACAGGAUUAGAUACCCUGGUAGUCCAUGCCGUAAACGGUGGGCGCUAGGUGUGAGUCCCUUCCACGGGGUUCGUGCCGUAGCUAACGCAUUAAGCGCCCCGCCUGGGGAGUACGGCCGCAAGGCUAAAACUCAAAGGAAUUGACGGGGGCCCGCACAAGCGGCGGAGCAUGUGGAUUAAUUCGAUGCAACGCGAAGAACCUUACCUGGGCUUGACAUACACCAGAUCGGCGCAGAGAUGCGUUUUCCCUUGUGGUUGGUGUACAGGUGGUGCAUGGUUGUCGUCAGCUCCCUGUC